rnacentral:lncRNA from 10 species
GGACAAUCUAGAGCAAGUGACAUCUCAAGUGGCCUGAACGAUGGCAGGAGCCAGCUAAAUCAAGGGACACUAAAAGGAGAAAGUGUCACACCUUCAAGAAACUAAAAACCACUCAAUGAAAGGGAAGGAUGAGCUGUGUGAGGUCGGAGCGGCAAGGCAAGCAGAGGCUGGAUCCAACUGGCUUGACUCUGGACCUUAAGACACAGGCCUCAGCACCUGCUGUUCCUGUGCCACUGUGCAAAUAGGAAGCCUUCCAGGGCACCAGGCUGCCAAUGUCCUGAUGCAAAAGAUGGAACUGGGAUAAAGGGCUUAGAGGAAAGUUCCCAGACCUACUGAUUGGAAUCCAAGUCCCUUCUGUGCUGCUGCAACAGAAUACCUGAGACAGGGUAAUUUAUGAUGAAUAGAAAUUUGUUUCUCAGAGUUCUAGAGCCUGGAAAGUCCAAG